rnacentral:misc_RNA from 1 species
GAUGAAGAACGCAGCGAAAUGCGAUACGUAAUGUGAAUUGCAGAAUUCAGUGAAUCAUCGAAUCUUUGAACGCAUAUUGCGCUCUCUGGUAUUCCGGAGAGCAUGUUUGUUUGAGUAUCAGUAAACACCUCAACUUCCAUAUCUUUUUUGAAAUGGGAGUUGGACUUGAGUGAUCCCAACGCUUUUCCUCACCGAAAAGUGGCGGGUUACUUGAAAUGCAGGUGCAGCUGGACUUUUCUCUGAGCUAUAAGCAUAUCUAUUUAGUCUGCCUAAAAAACAGAUUAUUACCUUUGCUGCAGCUAACAUAAAGGAGAUUAGUUCUUGUGCUGACUGAUGCAGGAUUCACAAAGACAGGCUUCGGCCGACUUUGUAAACUCGAUCUCAAAUCAAGUAAGACUACCCGCUGAACUUAAGCAUAUCAAUAAGCGGAGGA